rnacentral:rRNA from 1 species
UACGAAGGGGGCUAGCGUUGCUCGGAAUCACUGGGCGUAAAGCGCACGUAGGCGGAUUGUUAAGUCAGGGGUGAAAUCCUGGAGCUCAACUCCAGAACUGCCUUUGAUACUGGCGAUCUCGAGUCCGGGAGAGGUGAGUGGAACUGCGAGCGUAGAGGUGAAAUUCGUAGAUAUUCGCAAGAACACCGGUGGCGAAGGCGGCCCACUGGUCCGGUACUGACGCUGAGGUGCGAAAGCGUGGGGAGCAAACAGG